rnacentral:rRNA from 1 species
UGGGGAAUUUUGCACAAUGGCGGAAACUCUGAUGCAGCGACGCCGCGUGAGUGAUGAAGAUCUUCGGAUUGUAAAACUCUGUCCUUAGUGAAGAUAAUGACAGUAACUAAGAAGCAAGCCCUGGCUAAAUACGUGCCAGCAGCCGCGGUAAUACGUAUGGGGCAAGCGUUGUCCGGAAUUAUUGGGCGUAAAGGGUACGUAGGCGGUUUAAUAAGUCCUAAUUAAAAGGCUAUGGCUCAACCAUAGUAUGGUUAGGAAACUGUUGAACUUGAGUAGAUGAGGGGAAAGUGGAAUUCCAUGUGUAGCGGUGAAAUGCGUAGAUAUAUGGAGGAACACCAAUGGCGAAGGCAACUUUCUGGAAUCAAACUGACGCUGAGGUACGAAGGCGUGGGGAGCAAACAGG